CAGUCGCCGCGGGAAUACGUAGGGUGCAAGCGUUAAUCGGAAUUACUGGGCGUAAAGCGUGCGCAGGCGGUUUUGUAAGACAGAGGUGAAAUCCCCGGGCUCAACCUGGGAACUGCCUUUGUGACUGCAAGGCUAGAGUACGGCAGAGGGGGAUGGAAUUCCGCGUGUAGCAGUGAAAUGCGUAGAUAUGCGGAGGAACACCGAUGGCGAAUGCAAUCCCCUGGGCCUGUACUGACGCUCAUGCACGAAAGCGUGGGGAGCAAACAGGAUUAGAUACCCCAGUAGUCCCUGUCUCUUAUAC
rnacentral:rRNA from 1 species